rnacentral:rRNA from 1 species
UACGAAGGGGGCUAGCGUUGCUCGGAAUCACUGGGCGUAAAGCGCACGUAGGCGGGUCUUUAAGUCGGGGGUGAAAUCCUGGAGCUCAACUCCAGAACUGCCUUCGAUACUGAGGAUCUCGAGUCCGGGAGAGGUGAGUGGAACUCCGAGUGUGGAGGUGAAAUUCGUAGAUAUUCGGAAGAACACCAGUGGCGAAGGCGGCUCACUGGCCCGGUACUGACGCUGAGGUGCGAAAGCGUGGGGAGCAAACAGG